rnacentral:rRNA from 1 species
UACGGAGGGGACUAGCGUUGUUCGGAAUUACUGGGCGUAAAGCGCACGUAGGCGGAUUUGUAAGUCAGGGGUGAAAUCCCGAGGCUCAACCUCGGAACUGCCUUUGAUACUGCAAAUCUCGAGUCCGGAAGAGGUGAGUGGAAUUCCUAGUGUAGAGGUGAAAUUCGUAGAUAUUCGCAAGAACACCAGUGGCGAAGGCGGCUCACUGGCCCGAUACUGACGCUGAGGCACGAAAGCGUGGGGAGUAAACAGG